CGAAAGGAUGUAAGAAAGGAGGGAAGAGAGCAAAAGAAAGAAGUGAGAGAAAGAACGAAAGGAAGAGUGUGAUGAAAGGAGGGAAGAACGACAGGCAUGGAUCUGUUUAAUAA